GUACACUCUUCAAACACAUCUACAGAUAAAGGGUAAAGCUCUGUUGUAUUACAUCUUGAUGAGAGAGCAACAGCAUUGUCUGAAGAAUGAUUAAAUAAGGGCCAAUUCUGUUCAAAGCUGUUUCGCAUCUCCUUGGAUUGAAGUCUCUGAAAAUGUUCUCCUUGCAUCUAUAUGGUCUUUCUGAUUCUGAUGAUGUAAACUAUUUGCCAAAGCACGAAAGUGACAGAUUGAGUACUUAAGUCCCAAUUGUUUCAAUUACUAAAUGAAAAGAAACUAAAUGGCUAAAAAAAAAUAUUUCUGUAUAAUAAAAGAACAUUACUCAUAUCGCUAGAAUAUAAAUCACAGGAAUAGCCUGUUACUUCUUCCCAGAAAGGAUGGAACAGAGCCAGUCUGUCUAACUUAAGUACUUAAACUUAGUUUCACAGAUGUGUCUCUGGAGGACUCAAAAAUAACCAUGUUAAUUAAUUUUCAUAGGAUGAAAACAGCACUUAAAGCAAAAAAAAAAACCAAAAAAAAAAACAAAACCAAAAACCAAAACAACACAGCCAGAAGCAAAUAGUCUAUCUAAGCAUCUGAAGUUUAGAAACAAGGUAAUUGUCUAGUUUAUUUUAUCCAUAUUUUAACAUUUCUUAUGUGGCUUAUUGAUAUUGAAUUUGUAAAUAGAGCUAGCUGGCUUACGCUGUAAAAACAAUACUCUAUUUAUAAUCAAAAUAAAGCAAGCAACAUCCUCACACCCACCAGAAUUUAUUCCAGACUUAUUUAAUAAUAUAGAGAAUUUGUAUUUUUAAUUAACUACAUUUAUGCUUGAAAUUUGUAUAAUUUUAUUUGAAAUCUCCAGUGUUGUUUGAAGAGGCUCAGUCACUCUGAAAAUGUGAAAAUCAGGCCAGUUACUCAGUAAGUGUGAUUUACCAUGGGUUCAACAGCCUACAGGUAUGUCCAGCCUAGUGCUGUGUAUUGUGCGGAAAUGUCUGAGCUAGUUACAAAGGAGCUAGUUAUGAAUUUGGAAAUGUAUCAGCUCUGGGCUAAACACAGCCCUGCUGACCUGACUAUACUGUUUAUAUGCUAUGAGUUAGUAUCCUUAAAUAGUUCUGUGGUAACUCAUGCAAACUUACCAACUAAUUCUAGCAUUCAACAUAUCUCUAGUCAGUGCUCCAUUUUGUAGUACAAAAAUAUACAAAACUCAAGCAUGUUUAAAAACAAGCUGUAUUAAAAAAUUUUGCACUAAAUUGUUUAAAAUUUUGUGCAGAUGUAAUUGAACAUAUUAAUUGUUAGAUGU
rnacentral:lncRNA from 1 species